rnacentral:lncRNA from 1 species
UUAUGUGUUCAUCAUACCUGCCCUAUUUGUCCACAACCCCCAAUUGGCCUUAUGUGGAGACUUGUUCCCCGAGUGUUUGCUGAACUUGCUUGACUGACCUGCUGUUUGUUGAGUUACAUGACUGUUCUCAAAAGCUGUUUUACUAAACAACCCUCUUAUUUACAAAACUAUUUCAAGCAAAUCUCUUUAACACUGUUUUCCCACUAAAACCUUUCAAACUGUGUCAAGCAUUCUCACUCUACUCCUAAGUCAUUAGGUUCUGCCCCCUCCAGUGUGUGUACUGCCUUGGGAUCCUCUUGAGAACCCUCUGAACUCUGACACACUGAGGCUGGCCCUUCCACACUGCACUUACUCAAUUUCGUUACCAAAUCUAGGUGUGAGCACUGCCCGGAUUCCUUGAAAUGCUUAGGAAACUCUGACGCACCUAGACAAUGAUAUUAUCUAUGAAAUUGGGCAUUUGAGGCUAUUAGAGGUUUUGGAAAAUCACUUGGGCCUGAUACAGGCUCCCUAUAAUGUAACUUCUUUUUUUUUUCCUUUUUGUCUAUUUAUGUAAUGCAUUCAUAUGGUCCGUAAUAAUUUGUAAACGGAUACUGGGGUAACUAGUGGAAAAGGGUGGGUAGUUACAUAUUUGUGGGGUAAUACGGGUAGAAACCAUGCCUAUAAGACUUUAUAUUUUUGUUAUGUUUUGCCUUACCAUGUUAGAAAUCAUGCCUAUAGGCUUCAAGUGGUUCCAAUAAUAGAAAUCAUGUUUAUAGGUCUUAAAAUCAGCUUCACAAGCAGAGACCAUGCCUAUAGGAUAUGAUCCAGUUCAACUUCUGUUGUAAUGAGUGUUUACAUGUGUUUUUUAUUUGUUGUCACACCUACAAGUUUCUAACAUCAGUACUUAAACAAUUAGCUUAUAGGAAACAACAUCAGAAACUCUGCCUAGAUCUAAAAUCAGUUUAGUUUAAAUAAGUCAAUCCAGUUCUUGAGUAGUUUGCUUCGAAACUAGUCUAAUUAAAUGUUUGUUUUCUCCUGAAAUGAAUUCUCUCCAAUACUGCUUUAAUUCGCUAUUAGAAAGCAUGCCUAUAGGGACUUAAGAGAGUCUUAAAUUCUGCCCCUAUUUUAUAAAACGUAGUUAUCAUUAUUCCGCAUAUAGGCAAGCCUAUAUGGCAUUUUCAAAUCCUAUAACUCUGAAACUGUCUCUGUUACUUAAUGUUGUCCUGACUUAACAGGCUUAAAAUCAGUAGGCAAACUGAUAGGGUCAUUACUUCUGAGUUUAUAAAAUAAACUGCCUAUCUUCUGUGUCUUGAUAUUCACUUAGACAUCCUGCCUUAGGAUACUAUUUAACAAAAGGCCCUUAUCUGUAUCUGAGUCAUGCUGCCUGUGUGCAUUGUUUUGUGGAGGUAAACUUGAGCCUCUAAUUGCUCCUCUUUUGACUUAUGUGCUAAGGUCCUAAUUGUUCUUGCAUGUUUCCUUAGUAUUUUUCCCUUUAAACCUUAGGGGUCUGUCUAGAACUACCUAUAGGUAGGGAUCCUAAAUUUCCUCUAGGACCAUUAAGAAGGGACGGGUAACAGCACGCAAUAUAGAUCAUUGGCCAAAACGCUCUUUAAUAACCACUAAAGGGGUGGGAAGGGUAUAUCUGGGAUAUGAUGACAUAAAUGUUGAUCAUAAAUGUAUAUAUAGUCGAGUCUGGUGGGGGUAAGGUCUAACCCUUUGUUUUGCAGAAAAUGAGGCACGAGGUCCCCAAAUUCGGUAUUGUUAGCAACAUCCCACCGUUGCUGCUAGAUUGGUGGGAUGACCUUUCCUCAAGUGACAAGAAACAUGUGAGAAAGUACCUAGAUAACCUGCUUUCCUUGCUAGAUAUUGAACCAAACAACAAAUUGAUCGAAGAUGCCACUUUAUUCUGUGAUAGCGAAAGGGUUGUGUUUUGUUUCAGUGACAUAGAAAUGACACCGCUUCUAAAGGAAAUUAAAGGGCUUGUGGGAUUGAUUUGGUACAGUCGCAAGCUAUUGGUACCAGAAAACCAUGUGGGCAGGGGAUUUUUUAAGAUGAUGUGGCUGAAGAAGAAUAUCGACCUAGUGUGCUUAAAAGAAUCUUACAUACCUUUCGAAUACCUGUAUGAGAGGUAUGGCCACAACAAGUAUUUCCGUACUUACCAUGACGAGAUAUCUCUCACUUCUCUGGGUUACAUCCACCGUAGAGUGUUUGUAUUCAUUGUGUGCUUCCUGGUCCUAAUAGUGUUCCCAAUGAAAAAAGGGAGAAUCCACACUAGGUUGGCCAUGGUCGCCAAGACUCUGAUGGAAGGGACUAAUGGACAAACAUAUACCAUAGUCCCCAUGAUCAUAGCCGACAUCUAUAUGGCUCUAGAGCGUUGUCAAAGAGGGGUCAAGCAUUUCGAGGGUUGUAAUUUGUUACUGCAGUUAUGGUUGUUAGAGCAUUUCCAAAAGAGUCGCUAUCGCCAAGAAUUUCCGCGAAGGGCUUGGAACGACCAUAUUGCCUUACAUCACCCUAAGCAGAUGACUUACAUUCUAGACAGAUUCACUCAGCCGGAAAGUGCCAAAGAAUGGGUAGAGUUCUUCGACAAUCUGACCGAGGAACAGAUGCAGUGGAUGUUUGAAUGGUUCCCAACAGACGAAUUUAUUAUCAGAUCCAGGGAUGCUCCGCACUUGGUGCUGAUCGAGUUAAAAAGGAUAUACCCAUAUGUCCCUAUGCGAGUUAUGAGGCAAGCAAGAAGAAAAUAGGUUGUACCAAGGGUUGUCAAGAUGAGUCAUUUUAGGGCAGACUUUCAAGAUGACGAUGUCCUUACAAGUGCCAAGCUCAGCACAUGUGGCACUGUAAAAUCAUUGUGGAGAAGAACACUGUUGAGCCAGAAAGGUAUCAUGCAGGGUGCGAGCCUCUCUACCCGGCAUGGUUGGAGGACAAUCUGAAAGGAAUGGUGACACCAGGGGCCGGUUGAGGGAACAAAAUCAUAGAUGAGGAAGUUAAAGCUCAAGUUAAGUACAACAGGCUGCGCAAGAGGGUCCAUGACUCUGAGAAUGAGCACCGGGAAAUACAUGAGAGGAAUGCGAGGUUGAUCGAAGAAUGGAAAGAAAUGGCAGUCACCUCCAACAGGAAACUGGAAUAUCUGGAGCGAGGAAUAGUGGAGUUGGAAGGUAAAGCCAUAAAGAGGAUUGAAAAUUGCCAAAACGCUGAAGGAGCUGAAGGAGGACAUCUGGCUAGAGCCUACUUGUUACUGGGACUGCGCGAGCUGGGGAUCUAUAUGAUAGAGUCCGGAAGAUCGAAUCUGGCGAAGGUCCUUCUAGGACCAAAUAGGCUAGAUUUAUUUACUUUUUCCUAAAAUGUAAUAAGGCCAAGUGCCAGUAGUGACUUGUUUUAUUUUAUCUUAGUGUCGUUUUGGGAUUCGUCUGUUUUUAUAUUAUGAAAUGAAACAUUUAUUGGCAUUAAAAGUUCUCCAAAUCUAUUUGUCGCUAGGCCUACCUCGGGCACAAUGAGGUUCCCAAAUUAAGAUGUGAAUUUAUAUUUCCGCAAUAUGUGUUUAAAUACUGCAAGCAUUUCAGAAUCCUCACUGACUUGUUACCUUUUUAUUUUUGCUUAUUUUUUAUUGUUAUUCCCAUUCCCUUAGGUUGGUUCACUCAUACUGGUCUCAUCAGCAUAUCACACCAGAUCUAGAAGCCCUCCACCUCCUCCUCCAAGCAACACAAAGUGAAAAGGAAAGACAAAAAUGGAUGACUUAAGUGGUAUUCGAAAGGAGAAUAUUAAGAACACAGAGACUUCAGAUGGCCGUAGUACUCUAGCCCCAAAUAAUCUAGUCUUGAGACUAGAAUAAAAGAUAUUGGAAUUGCAAGGAGAACUUGAGCAGGUUCGCAACUUUGCAAACCCGUCACUCACCUUCAAUAUCCCCGACAUCCACCAACAAAACACAAAGAACCCAGCACCUCCUCAGAACACACAAAACCAACAUCCACACAAUCCUAGCGCACUAAAUCAAUACGCGACUCCACCCCAAAAUAUCAAUCCAUUGCCAAUACCAAUUCCACCGCAACAUCAUCAUCAACUAAUUCAAUACCCACCAACCACUACUUACCACACUCCCCAAAACAUACCACAACCCAUUCUAGAUCCACAAAACUCCACCAAUGACCAUCACUACACCCAAGUUCCUGGAACCCAUCAAAGCAACCUUAUAUUUGUUAAAACUAUACCUCAUUCUACUCAACCAAUCUCCUGUACACCGGAAUCUUCUGAGAAGGACUUGCUCAUUAAAAACAUGGCUGAAGAACUCAAGAAGUUAAAAAGCCGAGUUCAAGGUGUAGAGGGCGACAGAGGAAUAAAUGGUUUGAACUAACUGCCAGAGGGGUACAAACCUCCCAAGUUCGAAUUGUUCGAUGGUACAAGUGAUCCCAGUGCUCAUCUAAGGACCUAUUGUGACAAGCUUGUCGGGGUCGGGAAAUAUGAAAAGAUCUGGAUGAAGCUCUUUAUGAGAAGUCUUACUGGGGAUGCUUUGUCCUGGUAUAUCAGCCAAAAUCCUAAGAAAUGGUCCAAUUGGGUAAGCAUGACGUCGGACUUCAUGGACCGGUUCGGGUUCAACACAGAGAAUGCACCAGAUUUCUUCUACAUUUAGAAUCUUAAGAAUAAACCUACUGAAACUUUCUGAGAAUACGCUCCUCAUUGGAGGUCAGAAGCGGCCAAGGUCAGGCCCUUUUUGGAUGAAGAACAGAUGAAUAAAUUCUUUGUCAGGGCAUAAGAUCCACAAUAUUAUGAGAGGUUGAUGGUUAUCAAAAAUCACAAAUUCUUUGAUAUCAUUAAACUUGGAGAAAGAAUAGAAGAAGGAAUCAAGAGCGGGAUGGUAACGAACUUCGAGGCACUCAAGCCACGAAUAAGGCACUACAAUCAGGUGGCAUAUCGAAGAAGAGAGAUGUUGGGGCGGUAAUGGUGGCCCAGGGCCCAAAAUCUCCACUUACCUAUCAGACACCUCAACCCACAUAUCAAACACCACCACCCACAUAUCAAACACCUCCACCCACAUAUCAAACACCUUCACCCACAUACCAAGCAUCACCACCUACAUAUUAACCUUUAUAUCCUAGAUAUUCCCAACCAGCCACUAUCCAUCACACCUAUAACUCCCUACUAUCCCAUUUCCAAUUGCCUACAACUCGCCAAAACUUUCCAAGACCAAGACCUAACUUCGACCGCAAGCUGCCCAAAUAGUACACCCGCCAUUGCUGAGCCCAUCGACCAACUAUAUGAAAGGUUGAAAGCUGCAGGUUACGUUACUCCUGUUUCCAGUGUGGCAUUAGAAAAUCCAUCCCAAUGGGUCAAUCCGAGCAAAACUUGUGCGUACCAUUCCGGUAUAAAAGACACACCAUUGCUGAGUGCCGAACAAUGAAGGAUAAGAUCCAGACGCUCAUUGACAAUAAGGUCAUACAAGCAAAGGAAGCCGCACCUAAUGUCUGCAACAAUCCCCUCCCUGAUCAUAGAGGUGGUGGUGUACAUGUGAUAGAGACAAAUGAAGAAUGGGACCCCAAGGGGUCAAUCAAGCUUAUUCGAGAAGGAGAUGACUUUAAGGUUGCAGUCACACUUACUCCUAUUGUGGUUCAGACUCCGGUACCAAUCGAGGUUAAGGUAACUGCAUCAGUUCCAUUCAAAGUAGAAGUGGCUCCGCCUGCAGCUGCCCCCACUCCAUUUGAAGUAGAAGCGGUCACACCUUUCACUGUGACAGUAUUAGCCACAACCUCAUUCAACUCAAAAGAAAUACCCUAGGAUUAUGUUGCCGAGGCUCGGCAGAAAGAGAAGACCAAGAUAGAGGAAUCUGAUGCUACAUAAGGAAUGACUUUCCGAGAAUCUUAAGAAGAAACCUACUGAAACUUUCCGAGAAUACGCUACUCAUUGGAGGUCAGAAGCGGCCAAGGUCAGGCCCUUUUUGGAUGAAGAACAGAUGAAUAAAUUCUUUGUCAGGGCAUAGGAUCCACAAUAUUAUGAGAGGUUGAUGGUUAUCAAAAAUCACAAAUUCUUUGAUAUCAUUAAACUUGGAGAAAGAAUAGAAGAAGGAAUCAAGAGCGGGAUGGUAAUGAACUUCGAGGCACUCAAGCCACGAAUAAGGCACUACAAUCAGGUGGCAUAUCGAAGAAGAGAGAUGUUGGGGCGGUAAUGGUGGCCCAGGGCCCAAAAUCUCCACUUACCUAUCAGACACCUCAACCCACAUAUCAAACACCACCACCCACAUAUCAAACAUCUCCACCCACAUAUCAAACACCUUCACCCACAUACCAAGCAUCACCACCUACAUAUUAACCUUUAUAUCCUAGAUAUUCCCAACCAGCCACUAUCCAUCACACCUAUAACUCCCUACUAUCCCAUUUCCAAUUGCCUACAACUCGCCAAAACUUUCCAAGACCAAGACCUAACUUCGACCGCAAGCUGCCCAAACAGUACACCCGCCAUUGCUGAGCCCAUCGACCAACUAUAUGAAAGGUUGAAAGCUGCAGGUUACGUUACUCCUGUUUCCGGUGUGGCAUUAGAAAAUCCAUCCCAAUGGGUCAAUCCGAGCAAAACUUGUGCGUACCAUUCCGGUAUAAAAGGCACACCAUUGCUGAGUGCCGAACAAUGAAGGAUAAGAUCCAGACGCUCAUUGACAAUAAGGUCAUACAAGCAAAGGAAGCCGCACCUAAUGUCUGCAACAAUCCCUUCCCUGAUCAUAGAGGUGAUGUUGUACAUGUAAUAGAGACAAAUGAAGAAUGGGACCCCAAGGGGUCAAUCAAGCUUAUUCGAGAAGGAGAUGACUUUAAGGUUGCAGUCACACUUACUCCUAUUGUGGUUCAGACUCCGGUACCAAUCGAGGUUAAGGUAACUGCAUCAGUUCCAUUCAAGGUAGAAGUGGCUCCGCCUGCAGCCGCCCCCGCUCCAUUUGAAGUAGAAGCGGUCACACCUUUCACUGUGACAGUAUUAGCCACAACCUCAUUCAACUCAAAAGAAAUACCCUAGGAUUAUGUUGCCGAGGCUCGGCAGAAAGAGAAGACCAAGAUAGAGGAAUAUGAUGCUACAUAAGGAAUGACUAGAACUAGAAGAGUCUAUACGCCUGAACACCUGGGAGUUUCAAGUAAGGAGGCCACUACUAAGCAGCCUAUCAUUGAGACCGGGCUAGAUGACCUGUGGAGGAAAGUACAUGCAAAGGAAUACUCUAUGGUUUACAAUCUGAACAAAGUCCCUGCUCAGAUAUCUAUCAUGUCACUAUUGCAGAAUUCAGAGGCACACAAGAACGGUUUGAUGAAAGUACUAAGCGAGGCUUAUGUACCCAAUAACAUCACUAGUGGAUAAAUGGCCAAUAUGGUUGGGUAAGUACUAGAAAGCCAUAAGAUUAUCUUCCACGAAGAUGAGCUACCGCCCGAGGGUUUGAAUUACAAUCGAGCAUUGCAUAUCAUAGUGCAAUUUGAAGACAAGUUCAUUGCCAGGGGCCUGGUGGAUGGAGGUUCGAGCCUAAAUAUUUGUCUAUUGGACACUAUGAAAAGGUUGGACAAAAGUUUCCAUGAGAUACAGGUAGGAAUCAUAAAUAUGAAGGCUUUCGAUGGGUCCCAGAGGGCCACGAUNNNNNNNNNNNNNNNNNNNNNNNNNNNNNNNNNNNNNNNNNNNNNNNNNNNNNNNNNNNNNNNNNNNNNNNNNNNNNNNNNNNNNNNNNNNNNNNNNNNNNNNNNNNNNNNNNNNNNNNNNNNNNNNNNNNNNNNNNNNNNNNNNNNNNNNNNNNNNNNNNNNNNNNNNNNNNNNNNNNNNNNNNNNNNNNNNNNNNNNNNNNNNNNNNNNNNNNNNNNNNNNNNNNNNNNNNNNNNNNNNNNNNNNNNNNNNNNNNNNNNNNNNNNNNNNNNNNNNNNNNNNNNNNNNNNNNNNNNNNNNNNNNNNNNNNNNNNNNNNNNNNNNNNNNNNNNNNNNNNNNNNNNNNNNNNNNNNNNNNNNNNNNNNNNNNNNNNNNNNNNNNNNNNNNNNNNNNNNCUUCUGCUGGGCCAACCAUGGAUCCAUGCCGCUAGAGCCAUGCAUUCCACACUACAUCAAGCCGUGAAAUUCAAAUGGAACCGCUAGGAGGUAAUCAUUCACGGAGAUGGAAGUAACCCCAUCUACACUAGUCAAACUAUCCCGACCAUUAGACAUAGAAGAAGGCUAGGAGGGGAAACCUAUUAUUAUAUUGAACGGGUCAACACCCUCGAGAAAGAUAAAUAGUGGAGUGGUAAAAUAGAAAGCAUAUUGGCAUGGUCUUGAUAUGAACCUGGCAAAAGGUUGGGAAAGGACCUUCAAGGUAUCACUAACCGAUACAGCUGAAAAAUCAUAGUACCACCUUUGGGCUCGGAUACUAGUACACAUGGAAAGAGUACAUGGAUUGGUCGCCUCCAUGGCAUGGGUCAUAUUACCCUCUUUAGUAGCCAGUGCCACAUUUGGAACAAGCUUUUCACCAGGCUGAUACGAUAUGGGAGACCGCAGAAGAAGAAGCACUAGCUGGGUUGAAGAAUUUGUUCUUGGAGGAUGAAGACAUGGAUUGCAAUGCCAAAUUGAGGAGGAGGAGGAGGAAGAAAGCCUCACUAUUUAGACUGUGAAGAAAGGAGUUGUUCUAAGAAACUGGACCGCCACACUAUCCCAAGCCCAUUGAGUCCCUGGGUAGCUUGACAGAAUUUACUUCUAUAAGCCAUUCUAGGCAUUUAAGAUUUCCCGUAAUUUUGUUUUAAGUUUUAUUUGUUUCAAAAUGAAUGCUCGAUUUAUCGAGCCGUACUUUGUUUGGACAAUUUUUCAAGUUUUUAAUCAAAUGCAUUUGCUCUUUAUUAUUCACUACUAUCUUUACAUUUUUCUUUUCCACAACAUUAUUAUUACUUUUCCUGAUGAACCAACGACUGUGACAUGUAAUGAGGCAAGGCAACAUGAGAAUAGUAAUUUAGAGGAAGAAGAUGAGAUACCCUAGGAAAUCGUCAGGGAGGUUGAAAAUUUUGAGAAUAAGCCUAAGUCCAAUGUGGACGAGACCGAAGCAGUAAAUUUGGGAGACGCUGAGAUCGCCAAGGAGAACCACAUCAGCAUUCACUUGUCACCAACAAAGAAGGAAAGUACAUUCAUUUCCUAAAAGAGUAUGAGGACAUUUUCGCAUGGUCAUAUGAUGACAUGACCGGUUUGAGCAUGUCCAUAGUGGCUCAUAAGUUGCCUACUAAUCCCAUGUGUCCGCCAGUAAAACAGAAACUUAGAAAGUUCAAACCAGACAUGAGCCUAAAAAUCAAGGAGGAAGUUACCAAGCAGAUCAAAGCCAAAGUUCUCAGGGUAGUUGCAUAUCCAGCCUGGUUAGCUAACAUCGUGCUAAUUCCGAAGAAGGACGGGAAGGUCAGAGUAUGUGGUGACUAUCAGGAUUUAAACAGAGCAAGUCCUAAGGAUGACUUCCCGCUGCCGAAUAUACAUAUCCUGAUCGAUAACUGCGCUAAGCAUGAACUCCAAUCAUUUGUAGAUUACUUCGUGGGUUAUCAUCAGAUCUGGAUGGAUGAAGAAGAUGCAGAGAAGACAACUUUUAUUACACCAUGGGGUGUAUACCAUUACAAGAUGAUGCCAUUCAGUUUGAAGAAUGCUGGGGCCACUUACAUGAGAGCCAUGACAACCAUCUUCCAUGAUAUGAUACACAGGGAAAUAGAGGUGUAUGUGGACGACGUCAUUAUCAAAUCCAAGAAGGCCGCAUAUCACAUAGCAGACCUGAAAAAGUUCUUUGAUAGGAUAAGGAGGUACAAUUUAAAAUUGAACCCUGCAAACUGUGUAUUCAGGGUUCCUGCAGGAAAAUUAUUGGGGUUCAUCGUCAGUCAUCGAGGGAUCGAGCUGGAUCCGUCUAAAGUCAAGGCUAUUCAGGAGUUACCACCACCUAAGAGCAAAAAGGAUGUGAUGAGUUUCCUAGGACGUCUCAACUAUAUCAGUCGCUUCAUAGCACAGUCCACAGUCAUAUGUGAACCCAUCUUCAAGAUGCUGAGGAAGGAUGCCGAAACAAGCUGGACCGAGGAUUGUCAGAAAGCUUUUGACAAAAUCAAGGAGUACCUAUCCACACCACCAGUUUUGGUCUCGCUAGAACCAGGACGACCUUUGCUACUCUAUCUAUCUGUAUUGGAUGGAGCCUUUGGAUGUGUUUUGGGAUAACCUGACGAGACAGGAAGAAAAGAGCAAGACAUAUAUUACUUGAGAAAGAAGUUCACACCUUAUGAAACACGGUAUUCUCUGCUUAAACGCACUUGCUUUGACCCGAACAACCUAGAAAUUGAGGCAUUACUUCUGUGCCUACACUACAUACCUCAUAUCCAGGAUGGACCCUAUGAAGUAUAUAUUCCAGAAACCCAUGCCAACUGGAAAGUUGGCUAAGUGGCAGAUACUAAUAAGUGAGUCGAUAUCGUCUAUGUAACUCAAAAGGCGGUCAAGGGACAAGCAUUGGCAGAUCACCUUAAUAAAAAUCCAGUGGGAGGAGAAUACGAACCCUUGAAAAUGUAUUUUCCUGAUGAAGAAGUAUCAUUUGUAGGAGAAGACGUUACCGAAGCAUAUGACGGUUGGAGGAUGUUCUUUGAUGGAGCCACAAAUUUCAAAGGAGUAGGCAUUGGAGCAGUUUUGGUAUCAAAAACGGGUCAGCAUUAUCCGGUAUCUGCUAAACUCAGAUUUCCCUACACCAACAACAUGGCGGAAUAUGAAGCCUGUAUACUAGGGCUCUACAUGGCAGUCGACAUGAAAGUUCAGGAGUUGCUGGUGAUCGGUGAUUCAGAUUUGCUUGAGCACUAGGUACAAUGAGAGUGGGCCACUAAGAAUUCCAAGAUAUUGCCAUAUCUGUACCAUGUGCAGGAAUUAAGAAAGAGGUUUACAAAGAUAGAAUUCCAACAUGUGCCCAGAAUUCAGAAUGAGUUUGCCGACGCAUUUUCCACUUUGUCAUCCAUGAUACAAUAUCCAGAUAAGAACUACAUUGAUCCCAUUCCGGUGAGGAUCCAUAAUCAACUGGCAUAUUGUGCUCAUGUCGAGGAAGAAGCAGAUGGAAAGCCUUGGUUCCAUGAAAUAAAAGAAUACUUAUCAAAAGGAGAAUACUCGGAGCAUACAAAUCUCACUCAGAAACGUACGCUCCAGAGAUUGUCAAAUCACUUAUUCCACAUCGGAGGGAACUUGUAUAGAAGAACUCCUGAUUUGGGUUUACUAAGAUGUGUUGAUGCAAAGGAAGCCUGUAAGCUACUUGAGGAUGUGCACGUCGGGACCUGUGGCUUACACAUGAAUGGUUUCGUCUUGGCAACGAAGAUACUUAGAGCCAAUUAUUUUGGAUGACCAUGGAGAUAGAUUGCAUCCAGUAUGUCCGCAAAUGCUUUCAAUGUCAAGUGCAUGCCGAUAUGAUAAAAGUGCCGCCAAAUGAGCUCAACGCAACAAGCUCUCCUUGGUCAUUCGCCGCUUGGGGAAUGGAUGUUAUUGGUCCGAUUGAGAACGGACACAGGUUUAUUCUGGUAACCAUUAAUUACUUUACAAAAUGGGUAGAAGCUGCAUCAUACAAAGCUGUAACCAAGAAAGUUGCCAUAGAUUUUGUCAAGGAUCGUAUUAUCUGCCGAUUCAGAGUUUUCGAGUCCAUUAUUACCGACAAUGCCACCAAUCCCAACAGUGAUAUGAUGAAAGCUAUGUGUGAAACUUUCAAAAUCAAGCACAAGAAUUCCACAGCCUGCAGACCUCAGAUGAAUGGAGUCGUAGAAGCCGCCAACAAAAAACAUUAAAAAGAUACUAAGGAAAAUGUAUAGAACCAUAAACAGUGGCAUGAGAAGUUACCCUUCGCUUUGUUGGGAUACCACACUACAGUUCACACAUCAACCGAAACAACUUCCUACAUGCAGGUUUAUGGUACCGAGGCUGUCAUCCCGAUCGAGGUAGAGAUUCCUUCUUUGAGAAUCAUAUAAGAAGCUGAACUCAGCGACGUAAAGUGGAUACGAAGUCGCUAUGAACAAUUGGCCUUAAUAGAUGGAAAGAGGAUGAACGCAGUAUGUCACAGCCAACAUUAUCAGAACAGAAUGUCCAGAGCUUUCAACAAAAGGGUCAAACCGAGGCAGUUUGCACCAGGUCAGUUGGUACUUAAGAAGAUCUUCCCACAUCAAGAUGAAGCCAAAGUGAAAUUCUCUACCAACUGGCAAGGUCCGUGCAUGGUUCAUAGAGUACUAACAAGAGGAGCACUCUUGCAAAAAUGGACGGAGAAAUCUGGCUAUAACAAAUCAAUUCAGACGCAGUCAAGAGAUAUUAUGUCUAGAUAUUUUACAUUUCCUCAUUUGAUGUAAUUGAACUGCGCUUGACAUGACUUCCAUUUAAGAGGGGAUAUAUAGGUAGCCUUAUGGGUUCGGUCAUAUCAUAAUAAAAUUUUCAUUUCCCCCCAAGUUCAGAAACUGGGGAAAAUUUUUGAGGAGGACCCUCAAAAUUUCGGAGAAAGUCCAGCCAACGCCGUCGCAUGCUAGAAAGUCAGUUAAAGAAACUGGGGCAGAAUUCUGAGAAGGAUUCUCAAAAUUCCAAAGAAGGUUCAGCAAGGCCUAUUAUCCGCAAACAAUCAAAGAUCAUCUACCAAACUGGGACAGAAUUUUGAGGAGGACCCUCAAAAUUCCAAUAUAAGAAAGUUGCAAUGCCUUUGAGAGGUGUCACAAUCACUAGUUCAUCAAAGUUACUUGAUAUAUCAAUACGUUUCUAAAACAACUCUAUUUUUAUCAAAUAUUGCAUAUUUUCGAAAACUCUAUUUCUAUAACAGUCAGGUGUGACCCAAGGGAACUCGAAAGGCUUUCAGAAUGGAGAAAAGCAAAGCCAACCGACAGGAUCACAAACCAACCUUCCCCUCACAGAACUUACAAUUUUUCUUUGAAUGCAGGCACAUAUGACGUAACGAUAACAUCCUCAAAUACAUGCACGCUACAAGAUUACUAUCAAUCGGGCCAUCAGACACCGAAUAUACGUCUCCAACUAAGACAUAUGCUGCUCUUAGUUACUGCUUGCUCAGCAUGAGGCUAAUCCUUGCCUCCCUAUUUGUGUGAGGUUAAUCCCUGCCUCCAUACCUGCAUGAGGCUAAUCCCUGCCUCCCUAUUUGCAUGAGUAUAAUCCUUGACUCCUUACCUGCAUGAGGUUAAUCCUUGCCUCCCUAUUCGUAUGAGUCUAAUUCCUGACUCAAUGUUUGCAUGAGGCUAAUCCUCUCCUCUAUAGUUGCAUGGGUCUAAUCCUUGACUUCAUGAGGCUAAUCCCUGUCUCCAUACUUGCAUAAGGCUAAUCCUUUCCCCCUUAUUUUGCAUGAGUCUAAUCCUUGCCUCCUUAUUUUGCAUGAGUCUCAUCCUUGACUCCAUAAGGCUAAUCCUUGCCUCCCUAUCUGCAUGAGUCUAAUCCUUGACUCCAUGAGGCUAAUCCCUACCUUUAUAUUUGCAUGAGGCUAAUCCUUGCCUUCAUAUUUGCAUGAGGCUAAUCCUUGCCUCCGUAGUGGCAUGAGGCUAAUCCUUGCCUCCAUACUUUCAUGAGUCUAAUCCUUGACUCCAUGAGGCUAAUCCCUGCCUCCAUACUUGCAUAAGGCUAAUCCCUGCCUCCCUACUUGCAUGAAUCUAAUCCUUGACUCCAUACUUGCAUGAGGUUAAUCUUUGCCUCCCUAUUGGCAUGAGUCUAAUCCUUGACUCCAUACUUGCAUGAUACUAAUCCCUGCCUCCCUACUUGCAUGAGUCUAAUCCUUGACUCCAUACCUGCAUGAGACUAAUCCUUGCCUCGAUAUUUGCAUAAGGCUAAUCCUUGCCUCCCAUUUCGCAUGGAACUAAGCAUUGUCCCUUUUCGCACAAAUUUUGCUCUAUUUCUAGCCCUACUUAUUUGCUUUUCUAUCGGGCUAAGCUUUGCCCUUCAUUUCACAAGACUAAGCCUUAUCUUGUUAACAUCAUACUUUGCAUAUCAUGGGCUGAAAUAUCGCCAAUCUAUCCGAAGGCGUCAUAGUCUAAAGGCAUCAUCCUCAUAGCCGAAAGACACCAUACUAUGGCCUGCGGAUCUCUCUAAUUUGCAUAUCAUUGUUCAAAGGCAUCAUGGUUCGGAUGCACCAUCUUCAUGGCCUGAGAACAUCAUUUCAUGGCCUACGAAUCCCUCACUAAAUAAUUCAUGGCCUAGGACGUCAUCUUUAACCGUCCAAAGACAACCUUCAUGGUCCAAAGGGAAUUUGCAUCAUGUUUAAAUUUUAGCAAAUACAUGUUUGUAGCAUCUUUUAUCUGCAGGUAACCAGUAAGCAACCACUAUAUUAGCAGGAGCGAUCUCUUUCCAGUUCCCUCCAACCAUACCAAGCUCUAACCGCUCACCGUAGUCGCUUCCGCAUCGCGUGUCCGUUCUUGUAGUAAUUUCAUCGGCAUAUUCCGCAGAUGAACCCAGAACUACACAUGGCCUGAUUCCUGUAAAACCAGGGAUAUGUAGGCAGCUCGAAUACCAGAGCCUGACCUCUGUCCUUCAAAACAUCCCAUCCAGUCAAAAUUGGUCAUCAUUUCUUUACCCGAAAACUCUUUCAUCCUUUCUGGGUAAAGAGGGACAGCUGUUGAUAUACAAUUUUUCUCUAUAUAUUUUUAAUAUACAUAAAUACUUUCAAAAUAAUAUAUAUAUGUAUAUAUAAGCAUGCACAAAAUUUUUAUAAUUUUUCUAUAAUUUUAAAGAUUUUAAAAUAAUUUAUUUCCUCCCUUUUCACUCAUAAAAUCCUCAAUAAUUAUCUCUCAAAUUAUUGCUGUGGUGAUUUAGUCAUUUAAAUCCUAUAUUUAUGCCAAAAUAUUGUUAACAUAUUUUUAGUGCAUUUUUAUAAUCACAUUGUAUUUUUAAAGCUAAAUUGCAUAUAAUUGCAAUAUUAGCCCUAUUAAUGUAUAAUUACAUUUAUAUGCAUAAAAUUGAUAUUCUAUAUUUUUAAAAUGUUAAAUAUAUAUUUUAAAUCAUGUUAGUACACAAAAUUAUUUUUUAUAAAUUAUCUGUUAUUUAUUAUAAAUUAUAUGAGAUUAAAUUGGCUAUUUAAAACAUAGCCAGAUUGCAUUUCAAUUUGAGCUCUAAUUUUAACCCAACCCUAGCCCAAUUUCUAAUCAAAUUACCCGACUCAGGCCCUAAUUACCCCUACCCGAUCCAAAACCUAUCAAAUCCUGGCCAUUGGUCUAAAAGAUCAACGACCUCCAUUUGUUCUUGCCUUUUUAUUCCAAACGACCCCCAAACACUAAAUCAUUUUCCAAAUCUGCCGCCUCUGUUUUCUCUCAUCUCCUCUCCUCUCUCAGUAAUUCAAUCAAACCCUAGCCCUCAACCGCCGACCUCUCUUCUCCGGUCCUCUCCGGUGAUCUCUCAUCGACUCCUAAGCCUCCAAUGGCUUCCUCAUGCCAUGCUUGCCUUCUCUAAGGUCUUCAAGGGCCCAGGGCCACACUGACUUACACCUAGGGUUUGUCACCUAUCUGUUCUUGGCUACUCUAGUGUGAUUUCGAGCAAAAUCAUGUUGUAUUUGUUACGAUCCUUGGGAUUCUAGACAAGUUCUUUCAUCUCUAUAUGGAUUUCUUCUGAAACCCUAUUUUCUUCCUAUAUCUCUUAGAUCUGUACAAAUCUAGGACGAUUCGAGUUUGUUUCUUUAAUGUUUUACACUGUCCUUGGAACUCUUUUACCAGAAUCGUUGAUUUCAAGUGUUUUUGCCUUCUUCUAAAAUUAGGGUUUCAGAACUUCUUUCAAAAUUUUGUUCAACUAAUUCUCUGUGUUUAAACUUCUAAUUCUUGCGUUAUUUUAACUGAUUCUAUAAGUUUAUCACAUCUUUAACUCGUCUAUGUUGAAAGCCCUAAUUUUUCUAGGCUUCUUCAUUUGAUUUUUUGACUGGCCUGUUCUUGUUUGAGUUUCUGUGACUAUCUCGCCUCGAAUAUGUUUCUACUAAGUUUUUUAUGCCUAACUUACAUCGACACUAUGUGCUGAGAUUCAUCUUGACUGAUCAAUACUUACAUCUUUGCUUGCUAUGUUUGGUUACUCCUAUCUCACUCUAUUUAUAUGUUAAAACAAUGACUCAUGACUCUCUCUCUGAUUGACUCUGAGUUCCCUGUUUCUUGGCUUGAUUUGAGAACUUCCCUUUAAACGUUCGAUUCUCCUGUUUAAACUUGAUUUAUUUGCUUAUUCAUGGGAACCCGUGUUACUCUCCUUAAAUCAGUAAUUUCAAGCCCUUGAUUAACUGAUUUACUAUAUGCUGAUUUUUUAUUAUUUCCGUAUUCUGCAACUUUAUUUUAUUUUCUUACCUUAUUUGGUUAACCGAGUAUUUUACUGAUUCUUUACUAGCUGUUUCCUUACUUGAAUCCUUUAUGUACUUACCCCUAAUUGUCUAUUUUGUACCUGAUGCCCUACUUGAUUUCUUUCUUUAAAUAUUUUCUGCCCAUUACCGUUAUUACCCCUUAAUUAAAGGAAUACUUGCAUUGAUUUGAUUAUGAUUAGUACUUGGUUCCAUAAUUACUAUGCUAUUGUGAUUCUUGCCUUAUUUUGCCUAAUUUCGAACUACUAUAUAUAUUACUCUCUCAUUAACACAAACACGAACACAUUAGUUCAAAAACUCUCUCUCUGACCCUAAAAACUUUUUGCUUUCUUUCUUUGUUACUUGCUACCAUUUGGGAUUAGUCGGCUGUAAGCCAAAGCUAAUUAUUUUGCUCUCUUGUUCUUCACCUUGUGUUUACUGUCUCUAUACUGGUACGCUCGUCACGCCCCAAACUUGAGGAGGUGUGGCUGGCGCCGGCGUCGUACUAGCCUGAGCGAACCACUCUAUAACUCUUUCUUUUUCUUCUGCAACUAUCAUGGCCAACAUGACCACAACUCGUAAUGUAUAACUAUAAGUGGGCAAGCAUUGUAUCAAUGAACCAUCGUUCUUAAAAUAUGAAUACAUAUGGGCCGUCAAGGCCUCUGACAUAUUAUACAAAAUGAACCUUUAUGUGUCUACAAAGCCUCUAAGAUUAUUUGAUAUCAAAUGGGACAGGGUACCGGCCUACCCAUAAGUCUGUAGCAAAACUUUGAGACGAUGACUCACAGACUCGGCUGCACUCCUAAUGAGGUGGAGUCUUACCGAUCCUUCACUGAAUGCUAACCUCGACUACUAUGAGGCUCAUCAAACUGAUUAUCUAUACCUGCAGGCAUGAAUGUAGCGUCCCCAACAAAAUGACGUCAGUACGAAUAAUGUACUGAGUAUGUAAGACAUCUAAAUAAAUAUAUAAAGAGUAUGGAAAAAACAUGGUGUAAAGGACUCAACCUGUAAGUCCGGAUAACUCUGUAUAUCAUUUAAUACUUAUAGUGUCAUGCAUAUGCAUAUGAAUAUUAUGUCGUGCAUAGGUAAAUGUGUUCAUAACAUCAUCAAGCUUCUAAGGGCAUCCCAUCAUAUAAUCUCAGCCACUAUGGGCAAAAUCAUCGUCGUAUACCAACUGAUCAGAUGGUGGUGUGUAUAUAACGCCAUAACCUUUCCCAUAUCCCAUAUAUAUAUACUUAUAUAUACGUGUAUAUAACGCCAUAACAUCAUCACACCUCUGAGGGUGUCCCAUCAUAUCAUCUCGGCCACUGUGGAAAAUCAUCAACGUAUACCAGCUGAUCAGGUGGUGGUGCGUAUAUAACGCCAUAACCUUUUCCCAUAUUCCAUGUAUAUAUAUAUAUAUAUAUAUAUGCGUAUAUAACGUCGUCUGGGUCAUGGGUAAAUGCACAUGUGAAUGAAUGCAAUGCAUGAGAAGUACGUUAAUAAAAUCUCUCGAAAUAUCAUAACACCAUUAUCCCUUUGAUUAAAAUCAAUCAAGUUUUUCACUGCAUAUUCAGCCAAGUCAGUACGCCCAUGAAUUUUGCAGCCGUUAGGCAAGGUACCCCAUGUAACUGAAAAGGACAUUGAGGUUAAAGUAAACAAAGAAAUGUCUUCAUGAGCAGUAUAUGAAAGAUGCAAUGUCUCUAGACGACUUCCUUCACAGAAAGCUUGAGUUCCAAUAUAAAACCAUCCUUACAAGUUAAAACACAGUUUAAAUUACCAAACUCUUUUCUUUGGGAAAGGUGGUGCAUGUGCCAACUUAUGUGCACCUUGACUAAAUUUAUCUGGUACCUGCUACCUCCCGCUAACACAAGUAUCUGGUGACUCUGUUCACCAAGGCUUAAGACAAAUGAGAAGAAAUAACCUAGAGUUAUGUGUCUCCAAUGAGAUUGGAACAAGAAACCUAAGAAUCUUAGGUUUUGAAAAUUGUCACACUCUUAAUGGACGCACAUUACAAAUCUUUGAAGUAUUUGGGAAAAUAUUAAACGUCCAACACUUCAUUAGAAGACUCAAACAUGUGUAUUGGGAAUACAAUUUAAAUUUCUAAUUAUUGUAUUCUGGAUUAAUUGAAUGAUUGUCAUUGUUUGGACAACAUAGAAUGAUAAGGUUCAUUUUAUAGAACUAGAUACUACCUGCUUUAACAUAAUUUUCGCUCGAGAAAAUAAGAAACUAUGUCUCUAGAUUUAGAAAUACUAAUAGAAAGAUGAAAUCAAGUUCCACCUACACUUUAUAUAAACAGUAGAAAGAACAAUUUUGUUCAUGAAUUGUAACAAGCCUAAAAUGACUAAAUCUGUAUCAAGCAGUAGAAGUGAGAAGAUAAAAUGUGGUAGUGUGGCGUAGAACAACCAUUAUCUCAACAGCACCCCCCUUCUUUUGGGGUAAGUCAUGAUGAUAAUAGCUUUUCCAAACCAGAUUGUGAAUGUCAACAAAAGAAACAUGAACUUACGAACAGCAUGCAAGCCGAGUAGGCUGUUGAAGACACUAACAUUCAAAGAUUACAAACUUUUAUUGGCAUUGAAGCAAAGCCCCAGAGAUAUACAUCUCAAUAAGCCAAAACUCGAGGGCAUAAGAUGAAUAGAACAAACCUGAAAUAAUUGUCAUUGAAUGAAUUUUCGAAUUAACCAGCUUCUCGCAGACAGGAAAAAUCCCUUGAAGUUUAAAUUGAAGCCAUUAUUAUAUUAUAUAUGGUGAUCUAAUUUUGUAAAAAGCUUUCAUCUUCUAACAAUGUGACACCCAUUCUAAAUGACUAAUGAGUCAUUAAUUUGAAGGUGAGGGGGCUGCCACGUGGGGAUGAGGUGGGUAAGUUUAAUCUUUAUCCACUUAUUAGGUAAUUAGGAAAUAUUCCGUUACCCGAUAAUUAAGCAAUUUCCCGCAUAAUUAAGAAAUGUCUCAAAUUACUUAAAACUUUACAUAUUUUAAUACACUUUAUACAUCACACUAUCAUGGUCAUGUGGUACCAUAUAAAAUAAAUAUAUACACUAUUAUUUCAUUAAAACAUCCAUGUAAAAAUACAUAUAUUUUCUCAAUAUUCUAUUUUUCCUAGUCUCAUAUAAAGAGUACAAAUUUUUCAUAUGCUUAAUUUUUAAAUGGUAAAAUAUAACCUUAUUUCCUUGUGAGAAUAUAAUUUAUAUCUUUACAAUAAUGAAAUUCUUUGUAUACUAUAAAUUCUCAAAACGGAAAAAGGAUAACUUUUCUUAUGAUAAAAUACUAUCUACUCUUAUAAUAAAUAAAACCUCAUUUAUAAACUCCCACAUGUCAUAUAUUUAAUUUAAAACUUAUCACAACCAUAUAAAAUCGUAUCAAUCAACUUUUACCGAAAAUGAUUUACUUCAAAGAAAAUACAUAUCAAGUCAAAAUAUAGUAGUUCCGAAAUUCUUCAAACUUACAGGGUCUUACAUCCCUAUCUUCAUGUACCUUAAUCCCUUCCAAAUCAUAUGUUAUUACUUCGACGAAUCCUAACUUUAAAGUACAGGAUGUAACAUCCUUCCCCCCUUUAGAACAUUCAUCCUCGAAUGUUAACUCUUAGAGAUUUGCAAAAUUUUCAAUAGGGUAUCCUCUGUAAAUUGAACUUAAAACCCAAUCUAUUUCUGAAGUCUCGACUAUUCACAACCUUGAGUAUCUUGUAUCUUCUUCACCUUUACCUUACUUACUUUUCAAUUUCGCAUCGUAUCUUCUAUUUCUUUUAUAACAUCCCUUUCACAUAAGUAGAAAUUACAUCUACGCCUUAAAGCUCUAUUAUGAUAGCACCUCUAGUGCAUACGAAACCUGGUGAAAACUUCAUAUUGACUUCUUACGGCUCAGUUCUAUGGCACAAUCGGGAAACAAAAGAAGGGUAACAUUUCCUAAAUACCUUAUAGCCUCUCCAUUAUAAAUGUGGCGCGCAACACAUCCAUAAGUGAGACUCUACUAGGCACGACUUUGUAGACUCCCUAGGACACGACUCGUUCUGAUACCACUUUGUCACGCCCCAAACCUGGGGAGGCGUGGCUGACACCCGGUGCCGUACUGGACCGAGCGAACCACUCUGCAACUCCUUUUUCUUCUUCUGCAACUAUCAUGGGCCAACAUGGCCACAACUCGUAAUGUAUAACUAUAAGUGGGCAAGCAUUGUAUCAAUGAACCAUCGUUCUUAAAAUAUGAAUACAUAUGAGCCAUCAAGGCAUCUGACAUAUUAUACAAAAUAAACCUUUGUGUGUCUACAAAGCCUCUAAGAGUAUUUGACAUCAAAUGGGACAGGGUACCGGCCUACCCAUAAGUCUGUAACAAAACUUUGAGACGAUGACUCACAGACUCGGCUGUACUCCGAAUGAGGUGGAGUCUUACCGAUCCUUCGCUGAAUGCUAACCUAGACUACUAUGAGGGAUCAUCAAACUGAUUAUCUAUACCUGCAGACAUGAAUGCAGCGUCCCCAACAAAAGGACAUCAAUACGAAUAAUGUAUUGAGUAUAUGAGGCAUCUAAAUAAAUAUAUAAAGAGUAUGGAAGAAACAUGGAGUAAAGGACUCAACCUGUAAGUCUGGAUAACUCUGUAUAUCAUUUAAUACUUAUAGUGUCAUGCAUAUGCGUAUGAAUGUUAUGUCGUGCAUAGGUACAUGUGUUCAUAACAUCAUCAAGCCUCUGAGGGCAUCCCAUCAUAUCAUCUCAGCCACUAUGGGCAAAAUCAUCAUCGUAUACCAGCUGAUCAGAUGGUGAUGCGUAUAUAACGCCAUAACCUUUCCCAUAUCUCAUAAACAAACCAGAUUGUGAAUGUCAACAAAAUAAACAUGAACUUACGAACAGCAUGCAAGCUGAGUAGGCUGUUGAAGACACUUACAUUCAAAGAUUACAAACUUUUAUUGGCAUUGAAGCAAAGCCCCAGAGAUAUAUAUCUCAAUAAGCCAAAACUUGAGGGCAUAAGAUGAACAGAACAAACCUGAAGUAAUUGUCAUUGAUUGAAUUUUCGAAUUAACCAGCUUCUCGCAGACAGGAAAAAUCCCUUGAAGUUUAAAUUGAAGCCAUUAUUAUACUAUAUAUGGUGACCUAAUUUAGUAAAAAGCUUUCAUCUUCUAACAGUGUGACACCCAUUCUAAAUGACUAAUGAGUCAUUAAUUUGAAGGUGAGGGGCCUGCCACGUGGGGAUGAGGUGGGUAAGUUUAAUCUUUAUCCACUUAUUAGGUAAUUAGGAAAUAUUCCGUUACCCGAUAAUUAAGCAAUUUCCCGCAUAAUUAAGAAAUGUCUCAAAUUACUUAAAACUCUACUUAUUUUUAAUAUACUUUAUACAUCAUACUAUCAUGGUCAUGUGGUACCAUAUAAAUAAAUAUAUACAUUUCAUUAAAACAUCCAUGUAAAAAUACAUAUAUUUUCUCAAUAUUUUAAUUUUCCUAGUCUCAUAUAAAGAGUAAAUGUUUUUCAUAUGCUUAAUUUUAAAUGGUAAAAUAUAACCUUAUUUUCUUGUGAGAAUAUAAUUUAUAUCUUUACAAUAAUGAAAUUCUUUUUAUACUAUAAAUUCUCAAAACGGAAAAAGGAUAACUUUUCUUAUGAUAAAAUACUAUCUACUCUUAUAAUAAAUAAAACCUCAUUUAUAACCUCCCGCAUGUCAUGUAUUUAAUUUAAAACUUAUCACAACCAUAUAAAAUCGUAUCUAUCAACUUUUACCGAAAAUGAUUUAGUUCAAAGAAAAUACAUAUCAAGCCAAUAUAUAGUAGUUCUGAAAUUCUUCAAACUUACAGGGUCAUACACCCCUAUCAUCAUGUACCUUAAUCCCUUCCAACUCAUUUGUUAUUUAUUCAACGAAUCCUAACGUUAAAGUACGGGAUGUAACAGCUCUGAAUUCAGUUCAAGCCCCAAAAAUAAUAUGUUUCUUUUAAUACUUCAGUUCAUCAUGUUCCUGAUUUGUUUUUACCUAUGGUUUUGUUGUUCAACAUGUAAUUAAUCUCUUUGCUUCAACAUGCUCUCAUGAACUAGUAACUUGACUCUACUCUGUUUGAUGCAUGUCUACUAGUUCUAGUAUGCACUUGUUGGGCUAUUGCCCAAGUUGUUUUAAUAUUAUGCUCAGUCAUGUUUAGUAUAAAAUCCUAUACUCUACUAUCUCCCAACUCUCAUAAAUCCCCCUAGGCAUCUCUGGUUUUGUAAUUGUGUUCUAAUUAAUACUCCUGAAUCUAUGUCUUACUACCUGCACUAAGAGCAAAGGACUUCUGCCUAUUAUGUGUUUAUCAUACCUGCCUUAUUUGUCCACAACCCCUAAUUGACCUUAUGUGGAGACUUGUUCCCCGAGUGUUUGCUGAACUUGCUUGACUGACCUGCUGUUUGUUGAGUUACAUGACUGUUCUCAAAAGCUAUUUUACUAAACAACCCUCUUAUUUACAAAACUAUUUCAAGCAAAUCUCUUUAACACUGUUUUCCCACUAAAACCUUUCAAACUGUGUCAAGCAUUCUCACUCUACUCCUAAGUCAU